rnacentral:rRNA from 1 species
AUACGUAGGGGGCGAGCGUUGUCCGGAAUGAUUGGGCGUAAAGGGCGCGUAGGUGGUUUGUCGCGUCGUCUGUGAAAUUCCGGGGCUUAACUCCGGGCGUGCAGGCGAUACGGGCAUAACUUGAGUACUGUAGGGGAGACUGGAAUUCCUGGUGUAGCGGUGAAAUGCGCAGAUAUCAGGAGGAACACCGGUGGCGAAGGCGGGUCUCUGGGCAGUAACUGACGCUGAGGAGCGAAAGCAUGGGUAGCGAACAGGAUUAGAUACCCUGGUAGUCCAUGCCGUAAACGGUGGGCGCUAGGUGUAGGGGUCUUCCACGACUUCUGUGCCGUAGCUAACGCAUUAAGCGCCCCGCCUGGGGAGUACGGCCGCAAGGCUAAAACUCAAAGGAAUUGACGGGG